UACGUAGGGGGCAAGCGUUGUCCGGAUUUAUUGGGCGUAAAGAGCUCGUAGGCGGCUUGUCGCGUCGUCCGUGAAAACCCACAGCUCAACUGUGGGCUUGCGGUCGAUACGGGCAGGCUAGAGUUCGGUAGGGGAGACUGGAAUUCCUGGUGUAGCGGUGAAAUGCGCAGAUAUCAGGAGGAACACCGGUGGCGAAGGCGGGUCUCUGGGCCGAUAUUGACGCUGAGGAGCGAAAGCGUGGGGAGCGAACAGG
rnacentral:rRNA from 1 species